rnacentral:lncRNA from 1 species
GGGCGGCGGGGAUGCGUCUGCUGUGCGGGGAGCGACGCGUUGCUGCGCGACCGCAACGGAAAGUGCGGAGAACAGCAGAGUGUGCGCGGAGAGAGCUCGCUGCCCGGCUGGGUCGGGGUCACCGCUCUGCGGUGCAGAAGCCGUUCCCACCUGCUGCGUGAUGUCCUUUAGAAAAAUAAAAUAACAUUUUUUGGGGGAAAAAAAAAGUUACAUUUAAUCUUCUGUUCUCUUUUGUUAUUUUGUAACGUUACAAGAGGUAACUUGAGCUGUACAAAACGCACGGUCCGGAUAGUAACGGAACCCGUCAGGGCCGCCAGCACCGCCCCGCUCUGCCUCCUGCCCUCUGCCCGAACCCGGGCAGCCUCCGGUGGAAGGAGUGACUUUAUUUGGCGCUGCCUGGGUGCCAGGAGGAGGGCUGUGAGCCUUGGAGCGCAGCACCGGAGCGUUCCCGUCCCGAGCCCUCGGCGGAAUCCACGCAGCGGCACCGGGGAACGCCGAGGACAGCGCUGCCUGGGAUGGAGCCCCUCGCUGGGAAACGAGCACAUCGCAGCUCUCGGUUCGCCGCUUCUCGCUGCCCUACCGCGCACACGCAGAGCGAGGCGCUGCCCUUUCCCUAGGGCAUGUCCACCGGCUCCGCCAGCAGCUUCUCCCUCUCCGGCUCCCACCAGGAAGACAAACCGAGGACAAUCCUGAAAUACAAAAAUUUCUUCCCUGGGAUUUGCUGCUGCUGCCGCCGCUGUUGCUGCCGCGGUGCAGUGCCAAGACUCUCGGAAUAAAUAAAAGCGGGCUACUGUGUGUCUGUAGAUGCGGGCAGCUAAUAGCUAUUAUUAGUUGGCCAUUGAUUUCGAAGAUCACAGAUGAAGUGGGGACGCCUUUCUUCUUCAUUUGGUCAGCGUGUGAAACAAUAAUACUCGUAACAAAUAGGAGGGAGAUGGGGGUGAAAAAAUCUUGACAUGAUUCAGAAGAAAUAAUACCUAGCGCACUCCCCCCUAAGCCGGAGCCCCCCUUCAUUCCCCCUCCCCGCUCCCUCUCUAGCCACACGCUCGCAGGCGCGGACACACACACACACACACAGUCGCGCACACACAUCCACACACAGGCGCACGCACUGUGCUGUGUGCUUUCGGAGGAGGAGGUGGUGGAGGCUUUUGGAAAAGGAGGAAGAGGUGGCGUUGGGGAGGGGGG